GUUUCCGUGGUGUAGUGGUUAUCACAUUCGCUUCACAGGCAAAACAUCCCCGGUUCGAAACCGGGCGGAAACA